rnacentral:snRNA from 12 species
UUAUGUACCUGGCAGGAGGCAUCUCCUUCUUCCCAGCCUUGAAUGACUUGGUGUACUUGAGGUGGAGACCUGUCCAUUGCACUGCUGGCAGGCACACCGUGAGAGUCUACUACAGUCUCCCAGUGGGAGAAUCUCAGCUACACAAUUUAUGGUGAUGGGGGAUUGUUUUUGGGCUUUCCCUCU